rnacentral:rRNA from 1 species
GACGAACGCUGGCGGCGUGCCCAAUACAUGCAAGUUGAGCGCUGAAGGUUGGUACUUGUACCGACUGGAUGAGCAGCGAACGGGUGAGUAACGCGUGGGGAAUCUGCCUUUGAGCGGGGGACAACAUUUGGAAACGAAUGCUAAUACCGCAUAAAAACUUUAAACACAAGUUUUAAGUUUGAAAGAUGCAAUUGCAUCACUCAAAGAUGAUCCCGCGUUGUAUUAGCUAGUUGGUGAGGUAAAGGCUCACCAAGGCGAUGAUACAUAGCCGACCUGAGAGGGUGAUCGGCCACAUUGGGACUGGGACACGGCCCAAACUCCUACGGGAGGCAGCAGUAGGGAAUCUUCGGCAAUGGACGAAAGUCUGACCGAGCAACGCCGCGUGAGUGAAGAAGGUUUUCGGAUCGUAAAACUCUGUUGGUAGAGAAGAACGUUGGUGAGAGUGGAAAGCUCAUCAAGUGACGGUAACUACCCAGAAAGGGACGGCUAACUACGUG